GAUGAAUUUGGUGGUUACUUUAAUGAAGUUGUGCACUCAUAACUUAAUAAGUAACUGUGAUGGAUUUUAGAUUUUGGAUCUUUGUCAAAUAAUUAUUUAAUUGUGUUAUUUUCUUGAUUGCUAAUGAAUUAAAGGAUUAUGGUGGAACUGUGGGAGUUAAUGCACAAAUUAAAUUCCACAAUAAAUUUGGCUUGUACUUUUCAAGUAACAUGAAGAUUGAAGACACAUAGACUUGUGGAAGAUUCAAUCAGUGCAUUCAUAGAUACAUUCGACAGGGGUUUAUGGGUGUGAUUAAUUUUCUUUUGUAGUCUUGGGCAUGUGGAAUGAUAACCCAUGCAGCACACACACUGAGAGAUUAGAAUAAUAAAUGUAGAAAGAGAGAGAAUAACAAGAAAUAAGGAAUUUUAUGUGGUUCAGCAAUGUGUCAUGGCUUAUGGAGAGCCACCUGCAAUUUUUCACUAUUAAGGAAAAGAUUACAAGUGGCUAUUUAUAGAUGCUAGACUUUUACUUCUACAUGCAAGGAUAGGAUGAACUUAGCUCCUCUGCUCCCCACUCUUUUUUCUUUCCCUGGAGCUUUUAGAAUGCAGCAUCUUCU
rnacentral:misc_RNA from 1 species